AGAGUUUGAUCCUGGCUCAGAGCGAACGCUGGCGGCAGGCUUAACACAUGCAAGUCGAACGGGUACCUUCGGGUGCUAGUGGCAGACGGGUGAGUAACACGUGGGAACGUACCUUUGGUUCGGAAUAAUACAGGGAAACUUGUACUAAUACCGGAUACGCCCUUCGGGGGAAAGAUUUAUCGCCGAAAGAUCGGCCCGCGUCUGAUUAGCUAGUUGGUGAGGUAAUGGCUCACCAAGGCGACGAUCAGUAGCUGGUCUGAGAGGAUGAUCAGCCACAUUGGGACUGAGACACGGCCCAAACUCCUACGGGAGGCAGCAGUGGGGAAUAUUGGACAAUGGGCGCAAGCCUGAUCCAGCCAUGCCGCGUGUGUGAUGAAGGCCUUAGGGUUGUAAAGCACUUUUGUCCGGGAAGAUAAUGACUGUACCGGAAGAAUAAGCCCCGGCUAACUUCGUG
rnacentral:rRNA from 1 species